CCAAAUUGAAACUUGGAGAAUGAUGAUUUCAUAAAAAUCAGCUGUCGCAAAUCGUGCUUAUUAUAAUGGGAGAUUAUACAUUCAGGUCAGUACCGCCCAUUAAAUAUGUAAUUGCUCGAGUUUAUCUGCGAAUCUCAACUAAACAUUGAUCACGGAUGUCAGCUGAAUUAUAAACGAUAAUUUUAUAAUUCGACACUUUCCAUCGCAUUAAGCUUCAAUUGCAAGAAAAGAAGCGAAGCGGCGGCCCGCAGAAACCUUGGGCAUUGCAGUUGGAUGCACAAACAUAAUAGAGAAAAUAUGUCACCUAUGAAGAACGACCGUCGAAUUUGGGCGAACAAUAAAAUUUGCCGUAUAUUAUCAAACAUAUUUGCACAUCCAGGCCAUAUAUAUAUAAAAGCAAAUCGUUUGAAAAUUAUUAUUUUCUGGUAAGGAAUGCUAAAGCUGUCGUUCCCCGAAGAAAAUGACUCCAAUUGAACGAGUUGCUUCAGUGCUUUGGAUGGUGUUGGUGGUGAUUUGUUGUGUAGUUUCAAGUGAUGUGGAUAUUUACCGAGACAAUAAACUGCUGACCGAUGAGGAAAAACGAGGAGCGACUGACGUUUCGUUUAAAGACUUUGGAGGCAAGUCCAAGACCUCCAAAAGGGGAAUAACCUCCACCAGAGACCACAAGCGCAGCUUUGGUUUAGGCGCCCUCAGUCCAUCUGGACAUGGAGAUUAUGAUUCGGGCAGAUAUGGAGGCUCUGGCAGUGGGUUCUCCCAAACAGCUUCCGGGGGAUAUGUGGAGGAUGGUAAAGUAUCUGGCACAACUGUGUGGUAAAUUUAGGAACUUGGGGCUUUGCAGACCGCCUGCCGCCCAUUUAUGAGUCGGGAGGAGGAAGUUACCAUCACAGCGGCGGAGGAUAUUCAAGCGGGCGCCCAUCUGGGUACGGAGCAAAUUAUGGCCCUCCCCGUCCUUAUCAACGACCCGGCUAUCCAGGGGAUUAUGACGAUAAUUAUUACUCAGGCCAUAGUGGUAAUGGGGGCGGAAAUGAGCAGGGGAUGGGGGGUUAUAAGAUGCAAACACUCAAGAAGCUCCUUCUGCCAUUAGCAGGACUGGCCAUUCUAGGAGUGGCGGCUGCGGCCUUCCAAAAUUCCGUUCUGCUUCCAUUGGGUUCGUUUGGUGACAGGAAAAGGCGCUCUUUGCCUCCAAGAACUUAUCCAUCCAACCCAGUUGUGAGGCCGAUCGGCACAUAAUUAUGGAAACGGGGAAUUUUAUCUGUUUGAUCAUAUCUAAUUUAUUCAAUUUUUUCUAGAGUAAGCAGGGA
rnacentral:lncRNA from 1 species